GGUAGUUCAGUGAUGGGGUGACGCAGUCAGGUAGCCGCGCCAAGUGUUGGAUAUCUUGGUGUAAGCGUGUGGCACGUCGACUUGUGAAAUGCGGUCGAUAUUUUGUGUGAGGCGUGAUGCGUAGCCCAAUUGUUGGGUGAUGGUGGUGAUCCUUUGCUGUCGAGAAAAGCCUCUAGCGAUGUGUGUAUACGGCCCGUACCCGAAACCGACACAGGUAGUCAAGUAGAGAAUACUCAGGCGGUCGGGAGAACUGUGGUUAAGGAACUCGGCAAAUUACCCCCGUAACUUCGGGAGAAGGGGGACCCAAACUGGUGCCCGAUCAUACGAUCGUGGUUGCUGGCGUGGGUCGCAGAGAAUAGAGGGGAGCGACUGUUUAUCAAAAACACAGGUCCGUGCGAAGACGA
rnacentral:rRNA from 1 species